UAAGGAAGGCAGCUCAUCCUGCAGCACCAGGUCUAUAUACAGUAACGAGUCCCUUCCCUCCUGCUCUCGGGGGAAUGUCGCCCUCCACAGACACCAGCGCGAGGAAGGAGCCCCUCCAGUUGUAGGUUCUCUACCUGCUCAUUGAUCUGCCCAUCGCCGCCCCGUCGGUCCUCCCUCUGCACCCCAAGGACGUCCUCCUCAUCCACAUGGCUGACGUCAUCAUCCUCAUCGUCCUCAUCCUCCUUGUCCUCCCUCUUCUCCUCCUCACCCUGCACCUCCAUCCUCACCUGGCCCUUGACAUCUAGCACCCCUUCACCCUCUUCCUGGGGACCCAGCAGGUGGUAUGUGGCCGUGGAGCCCUCCGGGCUGUGGCUGUCCUUCCCAGGAGAGGAUGACGUAGACUCGUUGCUGACAGGGGAGAUGUCACUGCUGCUGUGGUGGUUGACAGCCGCAGGGCUGGAGGGUGAUGAAGACUUCACUGGGAUCUGCCAGGAGGGGAUCUUCGGGGCCGACGGGGAAGGAGGGAACUGUCUCCUAGCAGUGGACAAGGAAAAAGAAAAGCAGGUAGAGGUUGGUGACAGCACCUGGCUCCAGUGCCACACAUCCCCUUGGUCCCUGAUCCCUGAACACUCAAGCGAUGGCAGCAGUUUCUCCAGGGUCACGAGGCAGGGCCCACUGGAGGCCCCAUCAGCCAAGCUAGUGUGUCUACCAGAAGUGUUCAGUGCUGCCCGAUGCCCUAACGCAGCCUCGCCCACCCCAGGGCAGGACCUACCCACCUUGGCAACUGUUGGUCUGCCAGCAGGGGGCCCAACACGCUCUGGAGUUGCCCCACCCACAUUCAAUAUUGUCCCUACUCCUCUCCUGUGGCCAGAUGGGGACAAGGAGGCAAAAGAGGACCAAGGCUGGGAACCCGGGAGCCCCUGGCUAAUGUGCCCAUAAUCUCAGCCAAGGACAGCAGUGGGGAACCCUGGCUACUGUCAUUCAGACCUCUGAGCCCAAACUUUGACCAAGCAAAAGCCAGCUCUGCUGGGCCCUCAGCCAGCAGCCAGCCAGACUGAAGCCCAUUCCAGGACAGACCUGGGAAGUUGGGUCAACAUGGUCAUGGCUCAGAAGUGCAGCUCUAUAACAUGAAGUCCUGUUUCUGCAAAGGCCAAGAGGACAAGUCCUGUUCCUGCCCAGGGCUGUGCCACCUACCAGCACUGGUCACACAGUCAGCCUUCAACCCCAGAGCCCACCCGGUGGCACACGCACAUCCGGGCCUGCACCACACACACACAAGCAGCUCAGUUUGCGGUUUCCUUGGUUUCAGGGUCACCUGAUGGCCUGCAUCUGUCCCCUAACCACAGAGGCACCUGUCUUCUAGGUUUGGAAGGCCAAAGACUUCUAAGGACAGACAAUCUGCAUGCCCUGCCUGACUGGCCACAUCUGUUGUGGAGACACCCCCCCUCACCUUAGGAAGUGUGCCCCUCCAGCCUGGGCUCCUCAGAGCAUGCCGUACCCCAUCCUUGCUGCUCCCACAAAGCCCACCUUGGCUGUGGAGGCCUUGCCUCACAGCUUCUAAGCCCCUGGCCUAGCAGACACUCAUGCUUCCAGGUAGAGCCCGCUUGCGUGCACUCAGGCCGACUGGCUGCGCACUCCAGCUUUCUGGACAGAGGUUUCCAGGACACUCCGCUUUCAGCUUUAAAGUCUGCUUGCUCCUCAACCAGGUCAGCACUACGAACACUGUGCUGUCAUUCCAGGGAGCACCAGGAAGCUUCCGGGGAGGCAGAGCUGGUCUGCUGAUGCGGCUCUCACACCCUGUAGGCCUCAGUGUAAUGUUGUCUGAGACAAGGCUGCCUGGAAAGAGUGGCCACCUCCAGGUGCACUGUGACAGUAGGUGUCAUGUACCAGACAAUUCUCUGCCUGGAGGCCCUGUCUCUGCCCCACUGCUGACCUCUCAGACAAACAUUUUUUUCUUUUCCUUUUUUUAAUGCAAUACUAUGGAUGAUAUCUAUCCCCUUGGUGUGGGAGCGCUGGCUCCUUAGGAGGGGAGACAGGAGUGCCUAAGGUUCGCCUCAAGAUCUUCAUCUUCCAGCUCAGUGAGGGGUCCCGUCCCUCCCGGGAUUGUUGUGCCAGCCCACAAGACCCCUACACCACCAGGUUGACCUUCAAUAAGCGAGAGCUCUCAGCUUCCUUUCCUACCGAUUCAAAAGAAGUCCUUUCAAGGAGUUGAUUUCCGACUUGAGCUCAUUAAUAUUCUGGGACUCCAGGAUCCAGUUGGUUGAUGUGGUGGCCUAUAGGUCAGAAGACAGAUAACACAGGUCACAGUGGUGCCUGGUGCCAGCCUGUGUCUGGGGUCGGGGGAUUUAGAAGGGCCCUCGUUGGGGCAAUAGCUGCAAGCCGCUCUGUAUACACUCUGCAUUGUCACGCCUGCCUGUGACAAAACCCUACAACAACAGUCCCCAACCUCUGACUGCUGGUGGUGCUAAGAAGUCAUUCAGUGUUCUUUGGUGGCACUACAGCACCCAUGUGUAAAAUAACAAAGAAGCCCUUCUGUUUCCCACUGACACUGAAGGAACAGGAGACUACAAGUCCUACCUGCGGCGGUCUCUCCCGUUCCCUACCCCACUGCGGAUGCGCCAAGGCUCCACCACCAUGUGACCUGUCGAGGCCUGUGACUACUAUGUCCCUGAUUCCUAGCAGAGCAAUGGUUCAUGGGACAGACGAGUUAGAGGAUUCCAGACAGCUCUGCACAGGUGCCAGCAAGGGACAGAGCCUCCUGCCUGGGACAGGUGGCUCUCUUGCCUGCCUUGAGGUUUAGAUUCCCAGCUCCCACUUAGUAUUACCCCACAGAAGAGCUGCACUCUCCACACUAGAAACAAAGUGCUUGAAAAAGUUACAAGCCUGAGAUCCCGGCCUGGUAAGAACUUCCACCUGAACAGGGACCAAGACCAGAAGGAAGUGAGCCUCCAGGUGGGGCUGGGGGCAAGCAGCGUCUCUGAGCUAACUCCCCAGCCUUGGGAAGUCCUCCCUGUGUGAGGGAGGCCUUAUUACUUUCUCUUACUUCCCUUAGAUACCUCACAUUCCUGUGAGGCCCUCUGGAACAGAAGUCAAGGCUGCCUCCUCUCAUGGGAUCUGCCAGGAGGAAGGACAGAGGCCAUGGCGGGCACUCUUGGCAGGCAUGGAUGAAACAAGGUACUGUGUCAGUGGAAAAAUUGCCUACAAGAUGCCCAACGGGCUCUGCUGUGAGAAAAGCUGCCUUCCUCCAAAGGUUUGACACCUCUUGGCAAAAGUACGGAAGUGAAGAGCACAGUCACCCAGGAGCUGGAUGGAGCUGUGUAACACCAGCAAAGCAUGAGGCUCGGUGGUGACAACUGAAAACUCCAGCAUUAGAAACUGUCAUUGCCACUCUUUCUGCGCUGGUGUCAAAUCAGGAGGAAGCCCGUCUCUGAGAAGACGUUUGUCACCGUUGAAGGAGGCUGCAGAGUCUCAGCCUGCAACCCUGAAGGAGGCAGCAGACCGCAUGGCUGCGGCCCCACCCCACCCAGAGAAGCCAUCAGCUAACUAUGCACUUGCAGAAGGCAGGCAAGCACGGGAUGCUGGAUGCCAACUCUGUGACCAACCAGAACAAUUUGUUCCCAGCAGGAAGUUUUCAAGUAGCGGAGAGACCUGCAUGGUAUUAAGCCAUGGGAGGAGACAGCUGGAGCACAGCAGAUGUGCAUCUUAGAAAGUCUGCACCCAGCUGCCACUGCCUGUCCUCAACAAAUCCCAUUACAUGGCUGGGCUCAGGGACAACUCAGGAAAGUGUGGACACUUACCUAGCCUUUGGUUAAAAAGUACGUUUAGAGCCCGAAGCCUACAGACUGACAGGGUUUGGGCUGGGAAAGAGAAAUGAGGCCCUUGCUCACCAACAGCAGAAGCCUGUUCCUGGGGUCUCAAAGGUCUUGAGCCAGUUGCCCAGGCCAGGCACAGAGGGACAGGACGAGAGAGAGAGAGAGAGAGAGAGAGAGAGAGAGAGAGAGAGAGAGUGUGUAUGUGUGUGUGUGUGCAUGCGCGCUCUGACUUUGCCACUCAGCUUAUCCAGAAAGCAAAAUGACUCUCUCAAUAUGACAAUGAUGCCCAGCCUCGGCCUGGCCCACUCUAGCUGACCACAGGAGAGCAUAUGGUGCUGGCUGAUGAGGAGGGACCACCAGCCCAGCUGCAGGCAAGCCUGCUCAAAACGCUGAUAAGGGGAGAAGGAAGAAGAGUUCAGAACCCACCAUUUUUUUUUAAAGAUUUAUUUAUUUAUUAUAUGUAAGUACACUGUAGCUGUCUUCAGACACUCCAGAAGAGGGAAUCAGAUCUCGUUACGGAUGGUUGUGAGCCACCAUGUGGUUGCUGGGAUUUGAACUCGGGACCUUUGGAAAAGCAGUCGGGUGCUCUUACCCACUGAGCCAUCUCUCCAGCCCAGAACCCACCAUUUUUAAAUACACCCUUUACUAUCUGGCCUUGAACUCCCUUUUCAAUCACCUUUGGGAAAAAGCUAACACUUCUAGACAAGUAAAAUGAAGACAAUUUUAGAAAAGAUAUUUUGAAAGACAAUAGGGCCUGUGCUGAGUUAUGUAAAAAGAAACCAACAUAAGCUAUUUUCCAUAAGCUUUGGAGAUAAUUCUAACUUUUUAGACUCUCCAGGUGACUUGAAGAAGAGGUGAUGGUCUUGUCUGGAUGGCUGCAUCGCACUGUGUCUGUUACCGCAGCAACCUCCAUUUAAAACAACAAACUCCCCUGCAUCAGGAUUCCAUGUGAUCAUUAAGGCACCUUUGUAUUUAAUCUGAAAUUCCCUUAGAAUCUGUCACUCCAUGAAUAUACACGGUGGAGUCAGAGCAAGGGAGCCACGGUUGACCUGAAUCUGAGUAGUCAGGUUACCUCCAUGGGCAAAGGAGAGUCCACUCACACCCCAUGCGUGGGCUCAGAAACGGACACUCAGUACCACGGGGAUAAGAUGGAAGGGGCAUAGCGGAUCACCUGUGUGACCACAGUGUCUGAAGCAACACAAACGGCCGGCUCCUGCUCCCCUGCAACCUUUAGCACACACUUAAAACCGUGUCUAGAUGAGUUUGAGUGCGCCACGUUUUUAUACCUAGAAAACCUUAUGAGCUUUUUGCAUCAAAUGGAAAACCCAAGUUCUCCCAAUUUGCUGAGGUGGGAGCUUUGGAGCACUGCUCUUAGCCAGUGUCUUGACUCCCAGCUGGGGUAAGCAGGACUUGGAACAGGUGACUUACUGUAUGGCUGCGGAGUGAGGUGAGGGGGCUGGACAGGAACCACUGGGGUAGCUGGGCCCAGGGGUGAAGGCUCGUCGGCAGCUGUGCCCGACUGCUGGAAAGCCAGGUCAAUCUCUUCGUCUGUCAGUCCUAGAGAGAAGAGCAAAGGACACUCAUGAGUAUCUCUUGCCAGCGACCCACCCUCAGCAAAAUCUUCCUCUGCAAGCAGGCCCUGACGGCCACAGAGCGCGCCUUGCAUUUGAGUGUGCUGCCUCCUCGAUUUCGGAUUCUUGGGAACCUCUCUCUGUCGCAAUUUAACCUUAAGCGACAGAAUAUUAGCCUCAACACUGCUUCCAAAUGUGGCUCAUUCAAUUUCCUUAAUUUAUCCUUGAGUUUAUUGCUGCUUUUGAAGUCGCUCCGUACUGCAAUUCUCCAUUCUUCCCCCGAAAACAGAUACCAUCAACUGCAAAUGUGGCUCAUUUUAAUCUGUAAUGGUGUUAAAAAAAGAGGGGAAAAAACUAACAAUAAUGCACGAAAACAGACAGGGAAACAAAAAACUAAUUAUUGGGUGAGACGACUAAUUAGUCUAGAUCGUUUCCGAAGACGGGAAUAAUUUGCUUUAUUUUAUGACAAAUGCAGAAAUAAAAAGAAAAAUCA
rnacentral:lncRNA from 1 species